GGAGGUUCAGAGGAAGCUGUUGCUUCUUUCCUCUAACUAAUAUAUCUUUGUUUGAGGAACUUUUAAGUUCAAACUUAAAAUAAAAAUAAGUGGUUUUAUUGUUUUUGUGUUAGAAAAAUCUUGGUACUCGUUUGUACUUAUUGAAGUUUUGUUCUGUUUUUUUUUUCUUUUGUUCUCUUUUUUGCACUCUUUUCCCAAUUUAAGGACUCAUAAGGGCUUCUAUGGACAAAUCUUCCAACCAUCAACAACAACUUCACCGAAGCUUCUUCUCAGACAAAGCAAAGUUGGAUUAUUUUUUUCACUGUUUCACUACAUUUCCCAGGAUUGGUGGAUAUUUUCUGGGGACAUUUAAGCCAGACGUGCAGUGAGCGACAAUGAGACGGAACGAGAAACAGAGAUCCAGAUCCUGUCCUCUACUGGAUGGUUUGACUAAUUGUUUUAUUGGCUGUCCACCAUUGACCAAAGCAUGCUCUGGGGUUUAAAGGGCAAACUCUAAAUCCAGAAGUUGCAGGCUGGUUCCCCUGGAUCUGCAGCUGCUCCUCUGAGAGUCUUCAGGCUGAAAUACGGGGUAUAAGAGUCCUCAAGGUAACAGUAAAGAUGACCGGCUGACGGCUUUAGAUAUCCAGAGUGUUUCCCUCACCCUCUCCGCCCAUCAAUCUCCCUCACUUUCAUCACAUCGCUGUGUCUGCUGGAGGCAGGAACCAGACGCCGGCAAUCUCUGCCCUUACAGCAACCUGAUUUACCAUCGUCUACUGAAGCCGAUUUGUUAAAAUCACAUACUGUACAGUCAGAAAUAACAGUUAGACACAUCUGAGUGAAAUAAUUUAAAUAUACAGAUUCUGUAGUCCUGUAUCUGUUUGUCUGCAUAAUUUAUUAUGCUUCUUUUUUGUGUGUCCUUCAAUGGUCUUCUUGGCGGCAACAACUGCAGUCAAGCUUAAAAUUUUCAGAAUUGUUUUAAUUCAGACACAUUGGAAGGAUUUAAGCAUAAAUGUCCUGUUUAAAAGCAUCCCUCUGCACCUCAAUUAGAUUUUAACUAGGCCACUCCAAAACCUUCAUUUUUUUUUUUUUCAGCCAUUCAGAGGUGAAAUUGUUUGUGUGCUUUGGGUCAUUGUCCUGCUGCAGAAUCCAAGUGCACCUGAGCUUGAGGUCAUGAACAGAUGGCCGGAUAAUCUCCUUCAGGAUUUUCUGGUAAACAGCAGAAUUCCUGGUUCCAUCUAUUACAACACAUUAUCCAAACCCUGAAGCAGCAAAGCAGCCCCAGACCAUCACACUACCACCACCAUGUUUUACAUUCAGUAUGAUGAUCUUUUUUUUUUUUAAUUAUGUGUUAGUUUUACGCCACAUGUAAUGGGAUACACACCUUCCAAAAAGUUCCACUUUCGUCACGUCAGUCCAAAGAAUACUUUCCCAAAGUCCUGGGGAUCACUGAGGUGUUUUUGUUUUGUAAAUGUAAAACAGGCUGUUGUUUUCUUUUGCCUUGGAACUCUCCCAUGGAGACCAUUUUUAACCUCUAUCUUAUUAUCAUUAACACUGACCUUAACUGAGGCAGGUGAGACCUGCAGUUAUUUAAAUGUUGUUCUGGGUUCUUUUGUGACCUCCUGGAUGAGUUGUUCAUGCCCUUCCCACUCCUGGGAAGGUUCACCAGUGUUGUUUUCUCCAUUUGUGAUUAAUAGCUCUUACUGUGGUUUACUGAAGUCCCAAAUCCUUAUAAAUGAUUUUGUAACCUUUUCUAAACUGAUAGAUGAUGCCUGUCUGAUAUUAAAUGCCAAAACAACAGAAAUGUAUAAGAGGGCAAAUACUUUUUUACAAUACUGUAUAUUCUGUACAGUAUGCAUACAAUUUUGAGACAU